rnacentral:rRNA from 1 species
AUUGAACGCUGGCGGCAGGCCUAACACAUGCAAGUCGAACGAGUGGCGGACGGGUGAGUAAUGCCUGGGCAACUGACCGUUGGAGGGGGACAACAAAUGGUAACGGAAGCUAAUUACGCCUUCCAUCAGAUGUGCCCAGAUCGGAUUGGGUAGUUGGCGGGGUAACGGCUCACAAAGGUGACGAUCCCUAGCUGGUCUGAGAGGAUGACCAGCCACACUGGAACUGAGACACGGUCCAGACUCCUACGGGAGGCAGCAGUGGGGAAUGUUGCACAAUGGGCGAAAGCCUGAUGCAGCCAUGCCGCGUGUGUGAAGAAGGCCUUCGGGUUGUAAAGUACUUUCAGCGGGGAGGCGUUACCCGCAGAAGAAGCACCGGCUAACUCCGUGCCAGCAGCCGCGGUAAUAC